rnacentral:rRNA from 1 species
CAGCAGCCGCGGGAAUACGUAGGGUGCGAGCGUUAAUCGGAAUUACUGGGCGUAAGGCGUGCGCAGGCGGUUAUAUAAGACAGAUGUGUAAUCCCCGGGCUCAACCUGGGACCUGCAUUUGAGACUGUAUGGCUAGAGUGUGUCAGAGGGGGGUAGAAUUCCACGUGUAGCAGUGAAAUGCGUAGAUACGUGGAGGAAUACCGAUGGCGAAGGCAGCCCCCUGGGAUAACACUGACGCUCAUGCACGAAAGCGUGGGGAGCAAACAGGAUUAGAUACCCCCGUAGUCCCUGUCUCUUAUAC